rnacentral:rRNA from 1 species
CGCCUGUUUAUCAAAAACAUAGUCUUUUGAUUUUUAAUUAAAGAUGUGUUCUGCUCAAUGAUUUUAAAUAGCUGCGGUAAUUUGACCGUGCAAAGGUAGCAUAAUCAUUUGCUCUAUAAUUGAGGGCUGGAAUGAAUGGAUUGACGAGACUUUAUCUUUAUUUUUAAAGAAGAAAGAAUUUUCUUUUGAAGUGAAGAAGCUUCAAUUAAGUUGGGGGACAAGAAGACCCUAUUGAGCUUUACUAUAUUUUAAUUUCUUUUUAAAAAAUAGUUUGGUUGGGGCGACCAAGGAAGAAAGAUCUUCCUUUUUUUAUUUUGAUCCAGUGUUUCUGAUUAAAGGAAUAAGUUACCAUAGGGAUAACAGCGUUAUUUUUUUUGUGAGUUCUUAUCAAAAAAAAAGAUUGCGACCUCGAUGUUGACUUAUUUCUUCCUAGAGGUGUAGCAGCUUCAAGGGUGGGUCUGUUCGACCUUUAAAGUGAUACGUGAUCUG